rnacentral:tRNA from 1 species
GCCGGGGUGGCGGAAUUGGCAGACGCACAGGACUUAAAAUCCUGCGAGGCUCAAAUCUCGUACCGGUUCAAGUCCGGUCCUCGGCACCA